GAAUGGCAUCACGAAGGUUAUACUGUCUCCUUUUUCUAAUCAGUGAAACUAAUCUCCCCGUGAAGAAGCGGGGAUAAAUUUAUAAGACGAGAAGACCCUAUGGAGCUUUAAACUAAAACAAUUAUCUUAUUACUAACCUAAUCCUCAUGGUAAACAAACCUUUGAUAAUGUGACUUACAGUUUUCGGUUGGGGUGACCACGGAGUAAAACACAUCCUCCGCGAUGAAUAGGAUUAUUCCUAAGUAAAAAAUUACAAUUUUAUACAUCAACAAAUUGACACCAUUGACCCAAUAUUUUUGAUCAACGAACCAAGUUACCCUAGGGAUAACAGCGCAAUCCAUCUUAAGAGCUCAUAUCGACAGAUGG
rnacentral:rRNA from 1 species